rnacentral:rRNA from 1 species
AAGAAUAAGCCAUGCAUGUCUAAGUACAAACUAUAUUAAAGUGAAACCGCGAAAGGCUCAUUAAAUCAGUUAUGGUUCCUUAGAUCGUACCACAAUUACUUGGAUAACUGUGGUAAUUCUAGAGCUAAUACAUGCAAACAGAGCUCUAACCGGAGACGGAAGGAGUGCUUUUAUUAGAUCAAAACCAAUCGGCGGCGGUAGCAUUUCGGUGUUAUCGUUCGUCGCUCAAUAAAUGGUGAAUCUGAAUAACUUUAUGCUGAUCGCAUGGUCUUGCACCGGCGAUGCAUCUUUCAAAUGUCUGCCUUAUCAACUGUCGAUGGUAGGAUCUGCGCCUACCAUGGUUGUAACGGGUAACGGGGAAUCAGGGUUCGAUUCCGGAGAGGGAGCCUGAGAAACGGCUACCACAUCCAAGGAAGGCAGCAGGCGCGCAAAUUACCCACUCCCGGCACGGGGAGGUAGUGACGAAAAAUAACGAUACGGGACUCAUCCGAGGCCCCGUAAUCGGAAUGAGUACACUUUAAAUCCUUUAACAAGGACCAAUUGGAGGGCAAGUCUGGUGCCAGCAGCCGCGGUAAUUCCAGCUCCAAUAGCGUAUAUUAAAGUUGUUGCGGUUAAAAAGCUCGUAGUUGAAUUUGUGUCCCGCACUGUCGGUUCACCGCCCGCGGUGCUAACUGGCAUGUUUGCGGGACGUCCUGCCGGUGGAUGUUCAGUAGUGAUUGACUUUCGGGUCUUUUACUAUUUCAUCCGACUUAUGAAUCCUGUCGCGGUGCUCUUAACUGAGUGUCGAGGCGGGCCGGCACGUUUACUUUGAACAAAUUAGAGUGCUCAAAGCAGGCUAAUUAAUGCCUGAAUAAUUAGUGCAUGGAAUAAUGAAACAGGACCUUGGUUCUAUUUUGUUGGUAUUCGGAACCCCAAGGUAAUGAUUAAUAGGGACAGAUGGGGGCAUUCGUAUUGCGACGUUAGAGGUGAAAUUCUUGGAUCGUCGCAAGACGGACUAAAGCGAAAGCAUUUGCCAAAGAUGUUUUCAUUAAUCAAGAACGAAAGUCAGAGGUUCGAAGGCGAUCAGAUACCGCCCUAGUUCUGACCAUAAACGAUGCCAGCUAGCGAUCCGCCAAAGUUCCUCCGAUGACUUGGCGGGCAGCUUCCGGGAAACCAAAGCUUUUGGGUUCCGGGGGAAGUAUGGUUGCAAAGCUGAAACUUAAAGGAAUUGACGGAAGGGCACCACCAGGAGUGGAGCCUGCGGCUUAAUUUGACUCAACACGGGAAAUCUCACCAGGCCCAGACACUGGAAGGAUUGACAGAUUGAGAGCUCUUUCUUGAUUCAGUGGGUGGUGGUGCAUGGCCGUUCUUAGUUGGUGGAGCGAUUUGUCUGGUUAAUUCCGAUAACGAACGAGACUCUAGCCUACUAAAUAGACGAAACACUUUCCAGUAUCUCGAAGGCUCACAUCUCUCGUUUUAUAAUUGCACAUCUCCUGCCAUUUCGGUGGUGGGUCGAUGUGUGGUGGGCGGGAGUUUGUGGUUUUUACUACUGGCGUACAUAUAUAUCUUCUUAGAGGGACAGGCGGCUUCUAGCCGCACGAGAUUGAGCAAUAACAGGUCUGUGAUGCCCUUAGAUGUUCUGGGCCGCACGCGCGCUACACUGAAGGAAUCAACGUGUCUUCCCUGGCCGAAAGGUCCGGGUAACCCGCUGAACCUCCUUCGUGCUAGGGAUUGGGGCUUGCAAUUAUUCCCCAUGAACGAGGAAUUCCCAGUAAGCGCGAGUCAUAAGCUCGCGUUGAUUACGUCCCUGCCCUUUGUACACACCGCCCGUCGCUACUACCGAUUGAAUGAUUUAGUGAGGUCUUCGGACUGGUACGCGGUGAUGUUUCGACAUCACCGAUGUCGCUGGGAAGAUGACCAAACUUGAUUAUUUAGAGGAAGUAA